rnacentral:rRNA from 1 species
ACCUGAAACCGUGUACGUACAAGCAGUGGGAGCCUCUUAAUGGGGUGACUGCGUACCUUUUGUAUAAUGGGUCAGCGACUUAUAUUCUGUAGCAAGGUUAACCGAAUAGGGGAGCCGAAGGGAAACCGAGUCUUAACUGGGCGUUAAGUUGCAGGGUAUAGACCCGAAACCCGGUGAUCUAGCCAUGGGCAGGUUGAAGGUUGGGUAACACUAACUGGAGGACCGAACCGACUAAUGUUGAAAAAUUAGCGGAUGACUUGUGGCUGGGGGUGAAAGGCCAAUCAAACCGGGAGAUAGCUGGUUCUCCCCGAAAGCUAUUUAGGUAGCGCCUCGUGAAUUCAUCUCCGGGGGUAGAGCACUGUUUCGGCAAGGGGGUCAUCCCGACUUACCAACCCGAUGCAAACUGCGAAUACCGGAGAAUGUUAUCACGGGAGACACACGGCGGGUGCUAACGUCCGUCGUGAAGAGGGAAACAACCCAGACCGCCAGCUAAGGUCCCAAAGUCAUGGUUAAGUGGGAAACGAUGUGGGAAGGCCCAGACAGCCAGGAUGUUGGCUUAGAAGCAGCCAUCAUUUAAAGAAAGCGUAAUAGCUCACUGGUCGAGUCGGCCUGCGCGGAAGAUGUAACGGGGCUAAACCAUGCACCGAAGCUGCGGCAGCGACACUAUGUGUUGUUGGGUAGGGGAGCGUUCUGUAAGCCUGUGAAGGUGGCCUGUGAGGGUUGCUGGAGGUAUCAGAAGUGCGAAUGCUGACAUAAGUAACGAUAAAGCGGGUGAAAAGCCCGCUCGCCGGAAGACCAAGGGUUCCUGUCCAACGUUAAUCGGGGCAGGGUGAGUCGACCCCUAAGGCGAGGCCGAAAGGCGUAGUCGAUGGGAAACAGGUUAAUAUUCCUGUACUUGGUGUUACUGCGAAGGGGGGACGGAGAAGGCUAUGUUGGCCGGGCGACGGUUGUCCCGGUUUA